UUCUGAGAUAUUGAAGAAAACCCGAUAGAAAAAGCAUACGUUGAGAGCUCAACAUGCUUUGGUUUUGAAGCUGAGGAUCUCUCUUAAAGCAACUUAUCUAUUGCUAGGGAAAGAGAUGGAUGAGGGCACAGGAGCAAGUCCGUGAACAGGUUAGUACCAACGCACAGACAAAGAGACGAACUUGAAUCCCGCAAUAAUGUUGUGAUAUAUUAUCACUUAUUUUGGGGACAUGUGAUUGUUGAUCACUUAUUGAGCUCGUAUGCAAUAUGUACACGUAUGUAUAGUAUCAUGGAAGAUCUAAACUUCGUCUCCGUUAUUUUUCGGUAAAAGAUACAACCAUGAUACC
rnacentral:lncRNA from 1 species